rnacentral:rRNA from 1 species
UUAUACCCCUAUAAAAGUAAUUAUGCUAGAACUAGUAACAAGAAAUUGAAUUUCUCCCAAAUGUAAAUAUAAGCCCUCAUGGACUACACCACUGGCACUUAACGUCUAUGCAACCACUAUAACAACAAACCUCAAGAAUACCCUAUUAUACUUUUACGUUAACCUUACACAAGAACAUUUCAGGAAAGAUUAAAAGAGAGAGAAGGAACUCGGCAAAUUUUAGCCCCGCCUGUUUACCAAAAACAUCGCCUCUUGUCACAACAUAAGAGGUCCAGCCUGCCCAGUGACAAAAUUCAACGGCUACGGUACCCUGACCGUACGAAGGUAGCAUAAUCACUUGUUCCUUAAAUAGGGACUUGUAUCAACGGCACCACGAGGGCUGCACUGUCUCCUCUCUUCAAUCAGUGAAACUGAUCCCCCCGUGAAGAAGCGGGGAUAAAAUUAUAAGACGAGAAGACCCCAUGGAGCUUUAAAUAAUGCAAUCACACUAUAUCAAUAUGUCCUCUUACUAAAAGUCCUGACUGCAAAUUUUAGGUUGGGGAGACCGCGGAGAACAACUAAACCUCCACGACAGACGGCCUAAGCCCUUAUCUACGAACAACACUUCUAAGAAUCAGUACUCUGAUGUUAUUGACCCGAUAUCAUUCGACUAACGAACCAAGUUACCCUGGGGAUAACAGCGCAAUCCACUUUAAGAGCCCAUAUCGACAAGUGGGUUUACGACCUCGAUGUUGG